rnacentral:tRNA from 1 species
GCGGAUGUAGCCAAGUGGAUUAAGGCGGUGGAUUGUGAAUCCACCAUGCGCGGGUUCAAUUCCCGUCGUUCGCC